rnacentral:ncRNA from 2 species
AUUUUGUGCUAGGGGUGCCUUUGGGCUGAGAAGAGUUUUACUCUAACCCUGUGAACCUGAUGUGGCCAAUACCACCGUAGGGAAGCAUGUUUUAGGACUA